UGCCGACUGAUCCAAAACAUCUUCUUCCUCCUCUUCUGAUUUGGAGUAAUCCACAGCAGUGGUCGCCUCUCGCGAGUUCGUCCAUUUUCUUCCUUCCCUGUCGUCUAUCCAUCGAAGCAGACCUAGGGUUUGGAGCAGGGGAACUUGUCGAGCCAACUCAUUGAAACGACGGGUCUGGAAGUUGUGCGGGGAUUGUUUGACAUAUCUAGUUGAGAUCCCACUUGUAGGCGUGAAGACCAAGACUUUUGAGAGUGAGAGAAGAGUGCAGGAUUAUCUUUGUUGAAGAACAAUAAUGACACAAGGAGUUAAAUUUGAAUACAUGCGCAUAUACUCCAUG